rnacentral:misc_RNA from 1 species
GGGUUUAAUUACCCAAGUUUGAG